rnacentral:rRNA from 1 species
GACGAACGCUGGCGGCGUGCCUAAUACAUGCAAGUUGAGCGCUGAAGGUUGGUACUUGUACCAACUGGAUGAGCAGCGAACGGGUGAGUAACGCGUGGGGAAUCUGCCUUUGAGCGGGGGACAACAUUUGGAAACGAAUGCUAAUACCGCAUAAAAACUUUAAACACAAGGUUUAAGUUUGAAAGAUGCAAUUGCAUCACUCAAAGAUGAUCCCGCGUUGUAUUAGCUAGUUGGUGAGGUAAAGGCUCACCAAGGCGAUGAUACAUAGCCGACCUGAGAGGGUGAGCGGCCGCAUUGGGACGGUGACACGGCCCAAUCGCAUACGGGAGGCAGCAGUAGGGAAUCUUCGGCAAGGGGCGAAAGUCUGAGCGAGCAACGCCGCGGGAGGGAAGAGGGGUGUCGGAUCGUAAAACUCGGUUGGUAGAGAAGAACGUUGGUGAGAGUGGAAAGCUCAUCAAGUGACGGUAACUACCCAGAAAGGGACGGCUAACUACGUG